ensembl:lncRNA
GGGGGAGGGGGUGUUUUGGUGGUGUUUUACAAUUUUUCUUUUUUUCAUGAUUUUUAGUCGCCUUUUAAAAUGUACAGUUCUGUUAUUUAAAAAGAGAUUUCUUGUUCACUAGUGUUACUGCUAUUUUUAUGCCAUUUUAAACUUUUCUUUUUCAGAUAUUAAAAUAAUACUACACCAUAAUGCUUUUGGUUUGUGACAUAUAGUGCUUAACUUUGAUUUGAUAGAAACAAUAAAACCCUUUUUGUCUCUCUUUAUGAAUUGUCACACACCCUUCUAUCAGUAAUCACUUUUAUUUUCAGGUUUUUUUUUUUUUAACACAGAAUUGAAUUUCGCUUUGUUUUCUCUGACUUCUUCAUGAAAGAAUGAUCUCACUACAGUCUUCCUUCUUGUAUUUUUGUUUUGCCAGUAGAUGGAGGCAGCGAGAUAUAUUUCACCUGUUUGUGUUCAGGAAAAAGAGAAAGUAGGAGUACACUGAUGACAACCAUUAUCUUCUGUUGUGAGCCAACGAGGGAAUUUACUGGAGGAUUUGUUUCACUUCACGUCUCUCUCUGAUGAAAGUAACCCUUGCCUUGAACUCUCCCGGGAACUCUGAGAGGACUUUUAUAGAAUUCUCAUUGUAACCAGCAGAUGAACUAAUUACACUAUAUGGCUAAAGUUAUAAUAGCCUCCACUCUUCUUGGAAGGCUUUCCGCUAGAUGUUGGAGCGUGGCUGUAAGGAUUUGUGCUCAUUCAGCCUCAGGAGCAUUAGUGAGGUUGGCACUGCUGUUGAGUGAGGAGGCCUGGGUCACAGUUCCAGUUCAUCCCAGAGAUGUCUGCUUUGAAAGCUGCAACUAUAAUUGAAACAAGCAGUUACCAUGUGCCAUCAUCUUCCACUUGACAUUCACUCCUGCUAGUGGUUUGUGGUAAAUUAUGCGCAUUACACAAUGUGUUUUUUGGAAAGUCUAUUUAAUCCCCUCUAAUGUUACUCAGAACUGUUUUCUAUUCC